UGAAUAAUUGAUUGACUCAUUACUUCCAAGCCCUAAUACAUGCAGCCUAUAUUAUAUAAAUAGAAGGAUACAGCUGAAGAAUGUAAGAGCAUAGAAUAAUAAUAUUUACCUACAAUAAAUAUAUCGAUGGAUUUAAUAUUGUCAUCGAAAAAGGCCGAUGAAGCAAUAGUGGAAGUUGAAGGAGUUGGUGGAUACUACACAUGGUCAAGUAGCCAAUUUCCCGUUCUAAGCCAGAAAAAGGUAGCUGCUGGAUUAUUACUUCUUCAGCCUCGUGGCUUUGCUCAACCUCACUAUGCCGAUUCCUCUAAAAUUGCUUAUGUUUGUGAAGGUGAAUGCAUUGCUGGACUGAUCUCACCAGAAGAUUCAAAAGAAGAAGUUGUAAAAAUACAAAAAGGGGAUACCCUACCAGUUAAAGUGGGAACAGUGUCAUGGUGGUACAAUGGUUGCGACUCUGAACUCAAAAUAAUUUUCUUGGGACAAUCAUCUGAGGACUAUACACCAGGGGAAUUCUGUUAUUUCUUAUUAACUGGAGCUGCUGGUAUGCUAAACGGAUUCCCUAAUGAAUCAAUUGCUAAAUCUUUUCACAUGACCGAAACUGAAUCUGAAAAACUCAUGAAAGAUCAAAGUAGUUUAAAUCGUAAAUGAAGGUAUACAAAUUCCAAAUGCAUCCGGCAGUGCGAAACGCAAGUUGGUUUACAACUUGGAUGAUGCAAAACCUUGUGUUGAGGUUAAAAACGGUGGAGUUUUAUCUUUGGUAAGUAGUAUGAAUAUAGCGUUGCUUGGAGAGAUUGGAUUCAGCGCGAAUCGCGUAGUUUUGGAACGUGGUGCUGUACUUGGUCCAGUUUUUACAGCAGAUUCGUCCGUUCAAUUGAGUUAUGUUACAAAAGGAAGUGGACGUGUUGUAAUUGUGGGAGUGUUUGGUAAGGUUGUGUUGGAUGCUAAAGUGGAAGAAGGUGAAAUGUUUUUUGUACCAAAAUUCUUUCCAUUUGUUGUGGAAGCUGAUGAAGGAGGAAUGGAAUUCUUCUCCUUGAAAACAUCGUCAAAGCAAGUAUAUGGAGAAUUAUCAGGUGGGAAAAACUCAAUUUGGGAAGCAGCGUCUCCAUCAAUUUUAGAGGCCUCUCUAAAUACGACUCCAGAUUUGACAAAGUAUUUCAAGUCCAAGAUUGCUAAGGGUUCACUGAUUGCCCCACCUUCAAAUGGUUAAGUAAUUAAUUACUUAUUUGAAAUAAGAUUGAUCGAUGAUCAAUAGGAUUAUAUGGGAGCUUUUGACGUUAAGCUUAUAUGAUGUUGUGUUUCAAUUAUAUAUGUAUGCCUUUUUUAAUUCAGAAUAAAAAGAAAAUGAAUUUGGUCUGUAAACGAGGCAGUAUAAAGGCAUACUGUACCUCAGAAACAGUGGCGGAGCCACCUUGUUCUCAGGUCCAUCCAAACUCCCUUCGUUGGAAUAUUAGUAUUAUUUAUACGUGGUUAAAAUAAUUUUUUAGAUAUAUAUAGUAGAUGUUGAGCCUCCUUUAUU